rnacentral:lncRNA from 1 species
GUUCAAGCUGCAGACAGAUGUGGAAAUGCUUUCCUGUUAAGCAUGUGAGACCUACAGCAGACACACUCAGACUGGCCCAAGACCUUUUCCAAACGUGGGAGCCUAAGGAUGAAGAGUUAUCUAAAACAGUUGCUAUUUCAGUCCAGAACUUGAAGUUAAAAAUGUUCGAAUGGAAAAAAAAAAGUUUAAAAAUAUAGAUGUGUAUUUUUCUAAAACCCCAUUAAGCUG